rnacentral:snoRNA from 1 species
AUCCUUCAGAUUCCUUUACCCAUCAAACCUAAAUGCUGGUCUGAGUGAUUAUAAAAGGAGAGAAAGUAAAAUUGAAACUAAUUUAAAUCGUUUUGUGACACACAAGCUAGUUUCAAACAAAA